GAUGAACGCUGGCGGCGUGCCUAAUACAUGCAAGUCGAGCGAACGGACGAGAAGCUUGCUUCUCUGAUGUUAGCGGCGGACGGGUGAGUAACACGUGGAUAACCUACCUAUAAGACUGGGAUAACUUCGGGAAACCGGAGCUAAUACCGGAUGAUAUUUUGAACCGCAUGGUUCAAAAGUGAAAGACGGUCUUGCUGUCACUUAUAGAUGGAUCCGCGCUGCAUUAGCUAGUUGGUAAGGUAACGGCUUACCAAGGCAACGAUGCAUAGCCGACCUGAGAGGGUGAUCGGCCACCCUGGAACUGAGACACGGUCCAAACUCCUACGGGAGGCAGCAGUAGGGAAUCUUCCGCAAUGGGCGAAAGCCUGACGGAGCAACGCCGCGUGAGUGAUGAAGGUCUUCGGAUCGUGAAACUCUGUUAUUAGGGAAGAACAUAUGUGUAAGUAACUGUGCACAUCCUGACGGUACCUAAUCAGAAAGCCACGGCUAACUACGUG
rnacentral:rRNA from 1 species